ACCUUUCUUUUCCUACUUAAAUUUAAAUGUGCUGUCUCGUCUCUUGUGCUGUAAGUCUUUCGAUUUCGAUUUUCAUGUGAGAUGGGUGCGUGUCUUCUCUGCUUGGCAGAUCUAGUGAAGAUGUGAAGUAACUGGAGACAGAUUUUAAACAGAAAUGAAAGAUCUAGUAAAGAUGUGAGGUACCUGGAGACAGAUUUUACACUGAAAUGACAGAUCUAGUAAAGAUGUGAGGUACCUGGAGACAGAUUUUACACUGAAAUGACAGAUCUAGUAAAAAUGUGAGGUACCUGGAGAGAGAUCUUACACAGAAAUGACAGGUCUAGAAGUUAUGGCGGUAUCAGAUGCAGGAUUCACUUUAAUAGGUAAUUUGAAUUGAUUAUUGUAUUUCUAUCAGGACAUCACCCCAUAUAGUCUAUAUUGAUGCUUUACAAGGAUUUAAUUGGAUUGAACUAAUGAUGACAAAAAUAUGUAUAAUUGUUAUCAUUAAUUCGUUUCAGCUGUAGGAGUAAUGCUAAGAUUCUUUGUUCUAUAUAACAUAAGUUUUUGUAUCAUUGUCUAACCUAAAUUUCUUAUAAUCAGUAGAUUCUUUACAGUACAUAGCUAUGUCUGGAAAAUCAUUACCAGAAGUUUUCCUGUUUGAGUUCAGACAAUGCUUUCAAAGGAAAUGCUGGAGAUUCUUUAGGAAUCUCAUUAUAUUUUGUAGUAUAAAUUUAUCAUCUAUGUUGGAUAACAAUAAAAAAGUUGAAUAAAUAAAUAAAAACUAUUACAUA